AAAAAGGUGAUGUUCUUAAAACCACAUUUGAAGUCUUUCAUCUGAAUUAUGCUUUACUUUAGGGUUGCUGCAUAGCUAUAACGUAACCAGAGAGGCUCGUAACUGUAACUUCAGUAAUAAGGCACAGACAGUUGUGAUCGGAAGUUACUCUACGCUAUCGACCGUACCAUAACCACAAAUUGUUACUCGAGGGUUCACCAAAAAAUCUUAAAGCUUACCACCGCAAAAUACGAGGUUUGCUAUAGAGAUUUGGAAAUUCCCUCGCUGUCCACAGAACAGAUG